rnacentral:rRNA from 1 species
GUCUGAUUUGAUGCUUGCAUUAAUGAAAGAUGAGCGGCGGACGGGUGAGUAACGCGUGGGUAACCUGCCCUAUACACAUGGAUAACAUACUGAAAAGUUUACUAAUACAUGAUAAUAUAUAUUUACGGCAUCGUAGAUAUAUCAAAGUGUUAGCGGUAUAGGAUGGACCCGCGUCUGAUUAGCUAGUUGGUGAGAUAACUGCCCACCAAGGCGACGAUCAGUAGCCGACCUGAGAGGGUGAUCGGCCACAUUGGAACUGAGACACGGUCCAAACUCCUACGGGAGGCAGCAGUGGGGAAUAUUGCACAAUGGGCGCAAGCCUGAUGCAGCAACGCCGCGUGAACGAUGAAGGUCUUCGGAUCGUAAAGUUCUGUUGCAGGGGAAGAUAAUGACGGUACCCUGUGAGGAAGCCCCGGCUAACUACGUGCCAGCAGCCGCGGUAAUACGUAGGGGGCUAGCGUUAUCCGGAUUUACUGGGCGUAAAGGGUGCGUAGGUGGUCUUUCAAGUCGGUGGUUAAAGGCUACGGCUCAACCGUAGUUAGCCUCCGAAACUGGAAGACUUGAGUGCAGGAGAGGAAAGUGGAAUUCCCAGUGUAGCGGUGAAAUGCGUAGAUAUUGGGAGGAACACCAGUAGCGAAGGCGGCUUUCUGGACUGCAACUGACACUGAGGCACGAAAGCGUGGGUAGCAAACAGGAUUAGAUACCCUGGUAGUCCACGCUGUAAACGAUGAGUACUAGGUGUCGGGGGUUACCCCCCUCGGUGCCGCAGCUAACGCAUUAAGUACUCCGCCUGGGGAGUACGCACGCAAGUGUG